UACGAAGGGGGCUAGCGUUGUUCGGAAUUACUGGGCGUAAAGCGCACGUAGGCGGACAUUUAAGUUGGAGGUGAAAGCCUUGGGCUCAACCCAAGAAUUGCCUUUGAUACUGGAUGUCUCGAGACCGGGAGAGGUGAGUGGAAUUCCGAGUGUAGAGGUGAAAUUCGUAGAUAUUCGGAAGAACACCAGUGGCGAAGGCGGCUCACUAGCCCGGUUCUGACGCUGAGGUGCGAAAGCGUGGGGAGCAAACAGG
rnacentral:rRNA from 1 species